GUGGAUCCAUUACGCCGGCGCCGGUAGGACCAUCGCCCACUGCUUGCCUUCCCGUCCCAUGUUCUCCUUCGCUCUCUGUUUUUAUAGUAUCAGAUCAGCAGAAACCCAUAAAUCCAGCUUACAUUUGUUUUGUAUUAAGACAAAGUGGCCUUCUUGAGUGGCUCUUCUUCUCUCUCUCUCUCUCUCUCUCUCUCUCUCUCUUAGGAUCAAACUAACAGUAGCCCAUAAUUCCAGCUUACAUUUAUUAUUACAGGACAAUUUCCUAAUAGCUGAGAGCAGAUACAGCUGGAUUUUGAGGGACACAGAGAGUGCGCUGUUGUGAAGCGAAAUCGAGAAGAGAGAGAGAGAGAGAGAAGAGAGGGACGGAGGGAGAAAUGUACGCGAUUUGUAAUAAAGAUCGCUACUUUAUCGUCCUUCCGGGCGUUCCGUUUCCUCAUCACUGUUGCCUCGCUGUCUUCCUCAGGGAUCCAUGAGAUAGAAGCCCUGCUCUCUCUAUCUCUCUUGCUUCUUCGUUGGUGGUUCAUCUGUUUCUCUCUUCGCAAUUAGAGCUUGUGUUGGUGAGAUCCCGUUAUAAUUGGGUGAGACUCUAGGGAAUUGAUGUAAAAGAUUGGGUUUUUCUUCUUGGUUUGUGGAGAAGGAUGGGUUUUUGAGGCCGUCUUUCGAGAUUUCCUACGCGUGAUUCUUCUCGUGGUUGGAGAAUUUUCUGGAUUUGCUCAUCGCCAUUGUGCUCAAAGCGGCGCCUUUCGGGUAGUGCUGCGCCAGAGUUCAGAUCUUUGUUGAAUUUGUGUGGGGAAGAUGAUUUAGGUGGUCUCCUUUUUCUUGCUUGUUACCCAAAACUUGUUCUGGAAAAGCAAAGGAGCUCGUGAGGUGAUAUCUUUUUCUCUCAUCGAAGCUCCCCAAACAGUUCCUCCUGAUCUGCGUGUCUGAAUUUGUUGCAAGAAAUGGCUUCUUCUUUACAUUCUGUCGACAGUGUUGUCGAAGAGAUCAUGAGGCUUCAUCGAUCUCUGCCGCCACGACCAGGAAUAGAUGAGGUUGAGGCUGCGAUGGCGUUAGUUCGCAACGUGGACAAGGAAGAGCAAACCCGCAUCGAUGCCAUCCAGAAUCAGAAUAAGGGAUUCGAGGUCCCCGAAGAGCUCUUCUUUGUGCUGCAAGAGAUGCAGAAGAAUGUAGUGUGCCAUCAGAGCAAAGAACAGAAGCGGGAAGCUCUUAAGUUGCUUGAUCUGGAAAACGUCCAUAUCUUGUUUGAUAAAUUGAUCCAGAGAGCAUCCAGCUGUCUUCCUUCAAGCUCAAGUGGAUUGGCUCCAUCAAUCCCUAUGAACUCUGAGAAGGUUAGCACGGCCAAUCUCAAGACUCCUACUGGUUAUUCAAGUAGCCCCACAUCUGUCUUCUAUUCAGAGAAAGAGGCUGGAAGGAGCAGUGAUCGUGUUACUAGAGAUGACAGUUUCCUGAAAAUACCAAAGUCCCAUAUAGAUGGGAUUGGUACUAAGUCCCACCUGUCCGGAGGAAUGAUCCCAAACCAGACAACUAGGAAAGAAGUUAUUUCUGGAGAAGAAGGUGGGAAGCUGAGCCUUAUUAAACUAGCUAGCUUGAUUGAAGUCUCUGCAAAGAAAGGCAAUCAUGAACUCAAUCUUCAGAAUAAGCUGAUGGAUCAAAUAGAUUGGUUACCUGAUUCGAUUGGGAAGCUCUCUGGCCUGGUUACUCUUGACCUUUCAGAAAAUCGAAUUGUAGCCUUGCCUGCCACGAUCGGCUCUCUUUUUUCUUUAACAAGAUUGGACCUCCACUCGAAUAGAAUUUCUCAAGUUCCUGAUUCUAUUGGGGAUCUUUGUAGCCUGCUGUUUCUAGAUCUGAGAGGGAAUAAUUUAACAUCGUUGCCAUCUAUAUUUGGUAAAUUAGUGCAUCUUGAGGAACUUGACUUGAGCUCAAACCAGCUUUCCUCACUGCCAGACGCAAUUGGGAAUCUUAUACGGUUGAAGAAAUUAAAUGCAGAAACAAAUGACAUUGAGGAGCUCCCACACACUAUUGGGCAUUGUGUCGCUCUUGUUGAGCUUCGGUUAGAUUAUAAUCGUCUGAAGGGCCUUCCAGAAGCUGUUGGGAGGUUAGAAUCUUUGGAGAUUCUCUCUGUUCGCUACAAUAAUAUCAAAGGACUUCCAACAACAAUGACAUCAUUAUCAAAGUUGAAGGAGCUUGAUGUUAGCUUUAAUGAGCUUGAAUCAAUUCCUGAGAGCUUAUGCCUUGCAACUACACUUAUCAAACUAAACGUAGGGAAUAACUUUGCCGAUUUACAAUCUCUUCCACGUUCCAUUGGCAAUCUUGAGUUGCUUGAGGAGCUAGAUAUCAGCAACAACCAGAUUAGAGUUCUUCCUGAUUCUUUUGGGAUGUUGUCGCAGCUUCGUGUGCUUCAUGCAGAAGAGAACCCCUUGGAGGUUCCACCAAGGCAUAUAGCUGAGAUGGGUGCACAAGCUGUUGUGCAGUACGUGGCUGAAUAUGUCACUAAAAAGGAUGUUAAGGUGCAACCUGAAAAGUCCAAGCCAUGUUGGGUUCAGUAUUGCUUUUUCUGUAGACCUAACAAAAGGAAGCAUGACGGCUUCAGCUAUGUAAACUAAUUAUUGAUUUCAGGGGAUCAUCUUUCCUGAUGUGGAUGCGUGAUCUUGAUGCACACUUGCAAACAGUUUUUUCCGGAUUCAUGUAACAAAUGUCUCUACUAUCUUGAAGAGGGGAUCGAGCGAUGGCACGGCGAGGCGCCGGAGGAGGAGACGGGAGCGCGCUAAAGAGGGCUCUGUUGGUGUCAGGAGGCCUGGCGCUGGCGUGGCUUGCGGUGGAAACCGCCUUCAAGCCCCUCCUCGACCGCCUCCGUGGCGCCAUCUCCCGCUCAGACCCCGCCCACGACCCUGAUGACGACGACGACUUGCGGGGUGAUGAGAAGGGCGAUACUCGUGGCAGGAACAAAGCCCUAAACGAGGAGCAGCAGGACGGCGGAGCUCCCCCCUCCAAUUAGAUCCUUGCCCGUGACUCGUGUUGGUUGAGAGGUCUCAACCCAACCUCCGUACUUCGCUCCGUUCACCUAAAGACUUACUGGUCUUGUUAUCGUCGGAUUGCUUGUUUUCAUCGACACCAUGUGCUCGCAUAUAUUCCUUCCUUCCA